GGGGUUGUGGCUCAGCGGUACAGCGCUCGCCUAGCAUGUGUGAGGCCCUGGGUUCAACCCUCAGCACUACA
rnacentral:tRNA from 1 species